rnacentral:lncRNA from 1 species
CCACCAUUCUCCUUAUCUCUUAAUCCAUAUCUUUAUAUUUUCUUAUACCCUAAAUCAACACGCAACAACUUAGCCACAAAUGCAUCCUCCCAUCAAAUACAUCAUAGUCAGGAAUAUCAAGAUAAUCUUGCCCUACAUAAGACUUAUCAUUAUCCACAAAACAACCACCAUGCCACAUUCUGAAAAGAACAAAAAGAGACGCCAUUUCUGUGUGGAAAUGAAACAAAAUACUUUAUAAGAAAUCAGAAAAUAAAAAAUUUCUACAAAACCAACGAUAAAAUGAAAAACGCAAACCCCCAUCCCAAUUCACACGAGAACAGCUCCACAGCCCAUCAUUAAUAACAGCAAACCCCCAUCCCAAUUGACACACCUUUCGCCC